CCCUCCCCAGGGAGACGGGGACAGAGCGGCUCCCUGACGCCUGGGCCGGGCCAGCUGCAGGACGGGCAGGGCAGGCCGGCGAAGCAGGGGCAGAGCAUGGAGGGGUUCCUUCCCAUCUGUCCCUACGACGAAGGUGCUAUUGAUGUAGCUGGGGCAUACGAAGGUAUCCACAUCACGUCUGCUGAACAGUGGGAAUGUUGUACCCCUGCCUGUCCUGGCUGAGCGUGCAAAGCGCUGUAGUGCACUCCGGGAGGUGUUUGAGGACGUGGCAGUGUAUUUCAUACGGGAGGAGUGGGAG